rnacentral:rRNA from 1 species
UACGAAGGGUGCAAGCGUUACUCGGAAUCACUGGGCGUAAAGCGUGCGUAGGCGGUUCGUUAAGUCUGUUGUGAAAGCCCUGGGCUCAACCUGGGAACUGCAGUGGAUACUGGCGAGCUAGAGUACGGUAGAGGAAGGUGGAAUUCCCGGUGUAGCGGUGAAAUGCGUAGAGAUCGGGAGGAACACCAGUGGCGAAGGCGGCCUUCUGGACCGGUACUGACGCUGAGGCACGAAAGCGUGGGGAGCAAACAGG